rnacentral:rRNA from 1 species
GUGGGGAAUCUUCCGCAAUGGACGAAAGUCUGACGGAGCGACGCCGCGUGAGUGAAGAAGGCCUUCGGGUCGUAAAGCUCUGUCAUCAGGGACGAACGGCCGGUGGAGUGGAAAGCCACCGGAUUGACGGUACCUGAGAAGGAAGCCACGGCUAACUACGUGCCAGCAGCCGCGGUAAUACGUAGGUGGCAAGCGUUGUCCGGAAUUAUUGGGCGUAAAGCGCGCGCAGGUGGGAUCUGAAGGCUAUUUUGAAAGUUCGGAGCUUAACUCCGUGAUGGGAUAGAAACUGGGAUUCUUGAGUACCGGAGAGGAAAGCGGAAUUCCCCGUGUAGCGGUGAAAUGCGUAGAUAUGGGGAGGAACACCAGUGGCGAAGGCGGCUUUCUGGACGGUGUCUGACACUGAGGCGCGAAAGCCAGGGGAGCGAACGGGAUUAGAUACCCCAGUAGUCC